rnacentral:rRNA from 1 species
CCCUUAGAUGUUCUGGGCUGCACGCGUGCUACACUGAUAUUGCCAAUAUGUCAUUCUUAUCCGAAAUGGAUUGGGUAGUCAAGUAAUGAAAUUUCAUGCUUGGAAUCGGUAAUUGCAAUUUUAUCGUGAACGAGGAAUUCCUAGUAAGCACUAGUCAUCAGCUAAUGUUGAUUAUGUCCCUGCCCUUUGUACACACCGCCCGUCGCUACUACUGAUUGGGUGUUCAAGUGAGAUGCUUAGACCCUUGUUGCAUGGUUCAUUAUUGUGCUCCGAAAGGAAAAAGUUUCAAGCUUGAGUGUCUAGAGGAAGUAAAAGUCGUAACA